CCCACCCCACCCUUUUCUCCAGUUAGAAGUGGCUGUAUUUGUUCGGUUGGAAUGAUCUCUUGGUGUCUGGCAGCUUGAACACAAGUCAACACAGUUGGAAAAGCCAGUUUUCCUAGCUUCUUGGCACAGCUGAUUUCCCGGUUCAAACAAGAACUCCUUGACUUGGGAGGACUCAACUUUUCCACGCAUGACUGAGUCGAUGGUCCUCGCCACACUGGAGAGAGAUCAUGGGCCCUCUGUGGGGAUCCCGGAGGGACACUCAACCAGUGACUUUGUCCCCCUACUCUCUCUGGCCAUAUAAACAUUGCAGUCUGUGGGUGGGUGGGACAUGGGGUGUGAGGGCAGGCGUAUGCCCAACAUCUGGAGCUAAAACCUAAACACAUUUCCUGUAGAAACAAUAUUAUUCAUGAAGGGCAGAAAGCCCACUACACCCUCACAGAGCCAAGCACUAC
rnacentral:lncRNA from 1 species